GACCAGGGAUGUGCAUUUCCUGGAAAUCCUGGCCUGGCUUGGGAUAAGUCCGAGUUGCCGGGACCCAGGCCCACCCGAAAUCGCCUGCUCCGGGACGCCGGGCUGGAUCCACCUGUGGGCUCAGGCUCCAGCCGCCUGGUCCGCUCUGCCUUCCGCCUGGCCCCUCGAGCAACAGUCAAGCUACCGCCCAGGCGCCUGCAGCGUGCCAGGCCUGAGCAGGGCUGGAAGCAGGGGAACGAUCAAAACAGUUGCCAGCCGAAUAUGGGACUUCAGCCAUGCUGUGUGGAACAGAAGAAUUACCCAGCUGACCCCACCUCAGAUUCCAGACCUACAGAUUUGGGCCGGGUGACGUGCCAAACUGUACUGCGGGAGAGCCUGGGAAAUGUAGUCCAGCAGCACAUCUGGGAAGGCAAGGAGCUGCAGAUGUGGGUGGAGAUUCUACAAAGGCAGGACAGGAUCAACUUCUCCUGGAUCCCCAGCUCUCACCCAGGGUCUGGUGGAAAGUAGGAACUGCUACCUGUUGGUGGAAUGAUAGAAAGUAAGUGGGCAAUUGAGGUCACUGUUGUCAAGCUUCUGGGAUCUAUGGGAAGCCCUUGCUUGAGCAUGACCUUGUGUCCAGGCCGGCACAGGGCUCAGGCUGCCUUAGAUGAAGGAAGGGCAAGAUCAUGCCUAAGAAAAGAAUUUCAAGACAAACCCCUCCUUACCCCACACACUCAUACAAAACUCGUGUCACGAUAAUAUCUAGGUCUAUUGAGCACCUGUUCCGUGCUGGUCACUUACUCACAUGCAGAUGAUUUCACCCAGAGAUUCCCCACCCCCCGCAACGGCCUUAUGAUGUAGGUUCUGUACUUAGCCCUAUUCACCGCUGGAGAAAUCAAGACUCCAAGGGGUAAGAGGUGAAAGAGGAAUUUGGGUGUGAAUAUGCUAAACUCAGAGCUGUACUCUUGACCUCUGUCGGUGUCCAAGAGAAAGCAGAGUAGGCUGGAGAGCAGCCAGGUCUGGGACAAGAGCUCGGGACAGGCAGGCGGGAGCCCUGGGUCCGCAUCCGGUUCUGUGUGACUGAGGGCGGGUCACCUCACUUGUUUAGCACGUCCUUCCCUCAGCUGGCUCUGCGCCAGGCACUGAGGACAUGCAGAAAACAUCCGUUCUCUAGGUGGUUUACUCCCGGGGCAGCAGAGGAACCAGCAUUUGAUAUGAUAUGACAAGGAUCAUUAAGUAUUUCUUCCUCCUUGGCUCUAUUGUCUCCUAUGAAAUGUCAACCAAGAAGUUGGAAAGUCAAGUGUUGCCAACGCAAAAACCAACACAGCAAGCGUAGAAUGCAGACAGAUUGGAGUCUUGGCUCUGCCACUUCCAGGUCCACGACUGAGGCCAGUGCUCUCUGGGCCUCAAAAUUCCUCAUCUGGUGAGUGGAGGGACACAUAAUAUAUACCGAGCUCAGAACAUAACACAUAGACAUCCCUAAUUCAUAGGAUAACCCAUAUAUACCUACCACCUAGAACAAUCCAUAUAAUACCUAGCUUGUAGGAUAACACAUAUACAAAUAUAGCUCAUAGGACAAUCUAUAUAUACACCUAGCUCAUGAGCUAUCGUGAGCUCACACACACACACACACACACAUGCACACACACAUGCCUAGCUCAUGGAAGAGCAAUGGAAGGACCACGCAACAAGACCACAGAUGCCCCAUCUAAAUGCCGCCGGGCCAGAAUGUGGAUCCAGGGAAUACCAGGCCCCCAGUCAUUCAAGAAAAUCUGGAAACCACAAUUUUAAUGUUUAAAACUGUGUUCAGAUAGCUGGUGAUUAUACGUAUAGUGAGCACUGAGUAAUUUAUACAACUGUCAAAUCAAUACAUUGUAUCCCUAGAACUAAUAUAACAUUGUGUGACAAUGAUGCUUCCAUAAUGAAUUUAAAAAUUAAUUCAUUAAAACCAAGAGCUAUAGCUCUAAAAAUAUUACUAAUGAAAGAAAAAAAGCAAGACUGAUUUUUUUUAAAAAAAGUAUUCAAAUACCUCCUAAUUUUAAAAACUUUGCAUGAGCUAAGAAAAAUAUCAGUGGGCCAGAUUUUGCCCCUGACCCUAUGGGCUUCAUAACAGCCAAAAUCUCUGCUGAUUCUGAUCUCUGAAUAGGAAAGAGGACAAGGGAGGUGCUGUCUCCAACUCCAAUUUAACCAGACAGAAUUAGGAUCAGUUGCACAAAACAGAAAAUUCUAAAAUAACAGUAGCCACAACAAGAGAGAAGUUUAUUUCCCUGUCAUGUAAAAGAAGUCCAAAGGUGGGCAGUGCAGGCUGGUAUGGCAACUCUGUGAAGACAGCACCUUCCACCUCUCUGCUCCGCCAUCCCUAGCAUGUGGCCUUUAUCCUCAUUGUCCACCAUGGCUGCUGGAGCACUGGCCAUCACAUCUGCAACCCAGAGAGCAGAAUGGAGGAAGAGCUCUCCUCUUCUAAAAAUAAUUCCUCAUUUCCUCACAACCCUUUCACUCCUAUAGUCAAAUGGUCACACCUAACUGAAAACAAGACUGAGAAACGUCCGUAGCCGGGAGGCAAAGUAGCCAGCUAAAAAGCAAGGUUCGGUUACUCAAGAAGAGGAUAGUAGAUAUUGGGAGGCAAUGAGCCGUUUGAGCCACAUCAAAGAGCCUGAAGUGUGAGGAGGGCGUGCGGAUAGGCAGAGGGGUGUCCUCAGGUGGCCAGACUCUGCGGUCCACUUCACCUCUCCCUCCUCCUACAUCUUUGAGGCUCUGUCUGACCGAAAGGAAAUAAAAGGACCAGCCCGAAAGAGGCCAGCUGAAUAUAACAGUGAGAGCUACAGCUUCCAAGGACAGCUCGAGUCCAGGCCGGGAGCGGAGCCCAGCACAAACACGACCUCAGAUUCGCAGCGUCAGGGCUCUCUGCUGGGCGGGCCUCCUGCGGUGGCAGGGACGGUCGUGUCCUGCCUGUGCCAGCCGGGCAGGGAGCCCCGGGAACCUGCUGUCUGCCCGACGGAUAAUCACCCACCUUUCUGUUUCCCAUCCUGCCCCUCACCUCGGUCUGUGGAGGUUUUUUGUCUCCCUCAUGCCUGAGCCUACCGGAUGGUCUUCGGUCGUCCUGUGUCCUGAUGGCUCCCCGGAGCAGUCAGUCAGGUUGCAGCUUUCUGGUUUCUUCAGUUAGCCCCCACUCACCAUCUGCUCCAGCUUCUAGAAUUUGGUUGACUGCUCUCAUCUGCUGUUAUCUCCUCACAUGGUCUCUUUCUCCCAGUGGAUAGGUGUGCAUUUUUAAAAAAUGCUUUUUGGGGGGCGCCUGGGUGGCUCAGUGGGUUAAAGCCUCUGCCUUGGGCUCCGGUCAUGAUCCUAGGGUCCUGGGAUCGAGCCCCACAUCAGGCUCUCUGCUCGGUGGGGAGCCUGCUUCCUCCUCUCUCUCUGCCUGCCUCUCUGCCUACUUGUGAUCUCUGUCUGUCAAACAAAUAGAUUUUUUUAAAAAAUGCUUUUAUGCCAUUUUAUUAUAAUUUCAGAGAACAGUGGAGGUAAAUGCACGUGUUCAGUCUGCCAUGGGAAGCCAGCAGCAGCCUCCGGCCUGCAUUCUUGACCAGGGACACCCCAACAUGCGGGGUGAUCUCUUCCUCUGUUCUGUCUCCCUCUCUCCCUCCUUCUGCUCUCUCUCCCCCUCUCUUCCUCCCUCUUCCUCUCUCUGUCUCUGUCUCUGUCUCCCUCUGCCAGGCACAUGUUUCUCUCCCGCCUCCAUAGCCCAGACCUGCUUGUCAAGGGCAGGCGCCUUGCCUCCCUCCACUUUGCACUUGGACAGGACUGGGCAGGCCUACGGCAGGUGGAUAAAAGUCCUGCGUGUGGCUCCUUCCUAAGAAGUCAGGUGUGGGCUUUAACAAGCUAAAAUUAGAAGGUAGGGGUGAGAGCAAGUCAUUUCUGAAUGUAAGUACCAGAGUAAAUCUCCCUGCAAAGGAAUAUUCCCACUGUGUUUACAGUGGCGUCCAAAGUCAGUGCUUAAGGGGAAGGCCGGAUAGAGUCACACUUGUCCUUAUAAACCCCGAGGCGGGUGGCAGCCUUGAAGAGAGACCCUGCCUCUCGGUGAGUCUGACGUAGCCCGCGUUUCCUCCAGAGUUUUCUCCCAGUGUCUUGGUUAAGUGCCUGCAGGAGAUCCUGGUUUGGGUUGAGACGCCAUGUUAUGUGAACAUACACAUCUUCAGACCCUGGGAUCCCCCUCAUUGGAUCGGACCCUCGGGACACUUAUAAGAGGGGAGACAUGUGGUCCCCAAGAACUAGGGUGACCAACCAUCCCAGUUUGGUGGGACUGAGGGUUUUCCAGGGACACAGGAUGGUUCCAGGGCAAACUGGAUGGUUGGCGGCCUGGAGAACACCUGGCGUAUGGAUCUACUCCCCACGCAGCCUGCGGGGCGUGUACUGGCUGCUGUUUACCGCCCUACCCCAGGCAGAGCAGGGCAUGGUCCAGGGAGUAGGCUCUGGAGCCAGGAUGCUGGCGUCCAAGCCCCAGCGUCAACGCUCACCAGCUUUGAGGCAAGUCACUUCACCUCCCCCUGCCUCAGGUUCCUUGUCUCUCGAAUGGGAAUAAUAGUAAUAAGGAGUUCUCCUCCAUAGGGUUAUUGCGAGGAAUAAGCGAGUUCAUAGAUACAUAGCACCUAGAAUGUACACAGGCCACAGUCUCUUAUCUCAACCCUGAUACCUCAGGGCCUCCACAUGCUUUGGGAUUUGGGAAGUUUGAGGUUUUUAGAAAUCACACACUAGGGGUGCCUGCCUGGCUCCGUCACUGGAACGUUUGACCUCAACUUGAUCUCAGGAUUGUUACAUUCAAAUCCCAUGUUGGGGGUAGAGAUUACUUAACAAUAAAAUCUGGAAGGAAGGAAGGAAGGAAGGAAGGAAGGAAGGAAAGAAAGAGCAAGAGAGAGAGAGGGAAAGGAAAGAAAGAAAGAAAAAGAAAGAAAGAAAAAAAGAAAGAAAGAAAAGGUGAGUAGGGAGGGGUAAAGGAAGAAGGACAGAGCACACUCUAUGUCAUGUAACACAUCAGUGGGGUCUGGAUUAACAUCCCAUAAUUAAACACAUUAAUAUUCCUGCAGAACAUAAUGAGUGAAUAUUUACAUACCUGUUCAGGCUAGAUUUUUUUCCACCGUAUGAGUUUUGGUGCUAAUCUUCAAUUAUUUCCUUCAGAAUUUCCUGGAUUCACAAGCGCAAGCAAGACAUUGUAGACACAGGUACGGGUUUGCUGGGUCAUUGUUUAACGCACCUCUGGUGUAAGUGCCGCAUAAUCGCUUCUUAAAGACAACUCGGGCUUUUGUGCCCAAGGUCUCCGUGGGUCUGUGAACCUUCGUAGUAGGACCUUUGCACGGCAGCUCUGGGAGGAUACGCUCUUUCCUUCUUUCUCUACCCAGAUCCUCGGUGUAGUAGAUUCUUUCUGUUCCUGUCAAUAUGCUGACAGUGGGUGGUGGUUGGCUGCGGGGUGUUUGGUUAUUAGCGGUGAUUGAUGGUAGUUGGUGGUAGGGUUUUUGGUUGUUGGUGGUGGUGAUGAUUGUUACUGGUGGUGAUGGUGAUGGGUGGUAGUGGUCGCGGUUGGUGGUGCAGUGUUUGGCGAUUAGCAGUGGUUGGUGGUGAUUGGCGGUGGAGUGUUUGGCGAUCCGUGGUGGUUGACGGUAGGGUGUUGGUGGUGGGUGGCGGUGGUUGGGUGGUGGGAUGCAAAUUCAAGUCUCCAAGUGCCUUUCUUGGUCUGAGCUGGGGAGCCCGCUGGGCCCAGUGGCCAUGUUGAGGGGUGGGGGUGGUCAUAAGCUGUGGGGAAGUGAGGAACAAGCUGAGCUUCUGGCAAAGCUUCCGUGGAUUCCAGGCCGUGGUCUGGUCUGGGCAGGUAGCGGCAAAGCCGAAGGAUUCAUGGUCCUUCCACAGCUGCUGGACGUCUACAAACACCUCAUGGCAGGCAAGUGUCAGAGGGGACUCUGGGAGGUCCCCAGAUGGGGUAGGACUUGGGCCCUCCAGGAAAUGCAUGCCUUGGCAGGUGCUGGGGUACUAGGGAGUUCUAGUGGCUGCAAGGGGGCAGGGAAGUGUCUCCCCUCCUCCCCCACCCCUGCAGAGCCGCUGGGAGGGGCUCACCCAGACCAUCUCUCCACACUUCACAGAGCACCCUAUCCCACUCCUGGCAUUCGCCAACUCCCUCGACACAGGAUUGUAAAUCCUGAUUGUAAAUCAUUUCUUUCUGGAUUGGAUUGUCUGGAAAGGCAAACUGUCUUCUGCUUCUUUGUAGUGGAGGUUUGGCAACGAAGGGCAUCGGCCCUUUCCCAAGAGGGACAGAGAAAGGGAGGGUUGGGGUCAGGCGUCCACGCCAGACGCAGGUCUAGCCCCUUGGGGAGGGGCCUAGUUUUGCCUGCUGAGCAUUUCCAAGCCUUCUGCAAACUGGCAUCAUAGAGCAGUUACGGUUCCCCAUCUUUCCACCUCCUUCACCAUCUGGGGUGCCCCUUCCCUUCCUGGUCACCUUGCUCUCCCUUCACCCCAAAAGGGUGUUAGACUCUGAACCUCUGCCUCUUUUCCUCACUUUCUACUCAAACCUCCUCUCCGCUCACAAGUGAGAAAGAUCUUGAGAAAAACCUGGAGUACUAGCUAGGAGAACUUCAAUCCAGGUUCACCUCUGCCCCAAUACACCGUGACCUUGAGCUGGUCCCUUAUCUUCCAUGUGCCUCAGUGUCCCUGGAUACUGAGUCAGGCAGAUUGAGAUCAGGGAUUAGGGGAGCUAAAAACCCCAGCCAGGCUGAAGGGUGCAACAGCUAGAAAAUUCCAGCUCAUCGCUGCCCCCCGGAAAAGUAAGCCCAGCGCUGCACCCUGCCCCCCCCCCACCUCUGACUUUUCAGAGGAAGCCACAUUAGUCAGCAAAAGCUGCUAUAAUAAGCAGCCCCAAAGCUCAGGGCUUUACCACUGCAAUGGUUUGUAUCCUGCUCCCACCGCAGUCCAGCAUGGGCCAGCCCUGGAUGGGCCCUGCCCCACCCCCUCCUCAGGCCUGGGAGUCCUCCCCAUGCCCGCCCCCCCCCCCCCACGCAGGGUCCUCCCCCUGGACCUUCUGUCUCUGGUAGCAGGCAGGAAAGAGAGGGUGCAGGGCUGGGAGGGAAGUUUGGGGGCCCAGGCAGGAAGUGGUGCUUAUUACUUCCACCCACCUUCCAUUGGCCGGACUCUUGUCACACGGUCCCGACUAACUGCAAGGGAGGCUGUGUGCCUGGAAGAAAAGGACCUGGGUUUGGUGAAAGCUAGCCCGUCUCUGGCCACAGGCUGGAAACCGGGAUCCUGUAUGAAAACUUCUAACCUUUACAGAUGGGCAAAUCAUUUGAACUUCAGAAAGGUAUCGUGUAGAAUAAACAAACCCUGCGUGUGAGCCGGGGGUCCCCCAGGCCUGUGACCUGGGGCUGAGGCGGCCUCCUCCUACGGGCUGGAGCCGUGAUUUUCCCCGGGGUCAGGCGGCGGCUCUCACCCUCCCGCCUCAAACGGCCGCUGCAGUCCUGCUCCACGCCGGCCCCACGACAGGCAGUGAGGACCUGAGAAUGGCAGAGGAAACCAUGCCUUCCCUGGAGGAGCUCACAGCUGUUUUUUUUCUCUGGGUAGAAAAUAGCAUUAAAUUUUUAAAGCGAAAUGUUAGAGUGGUUUGCCAUAGCAGUACAUUUUGGCAGAGGAGCUUUCCUUAAUGGAAAAGAAAUGAUUCCCUGAGGGGGAAGUGCCAGGCAUCUCCAUUUCUGGAAGAACAGUGGGGACAGUCCCCUCCGGGCUCUAGUGCUCCUUGUGGGGACAGGUUCGGGCAAGUGCUUUGUCCCGGCUGAGCCUCAGUCUUCACCUCUGGGAAAUGGGGAUAAUGGCACCUGUCUUGCAAGGCUGUGGGGAAACAAGAGAAGCCCGUCGAACAGCGGAGCGGGGCCCGUGGAACACUGUAGGCACGCGCCCCACGGUCCCCAGUGGCCACCGUGGUGAGUCAGGGGUGACUGCCUUGGGGGGCAGGCUGUGUGUCAGCCUCCUCCCUAAUUCCCAACCAGCGUUGACAGGGUGUGGCCCUGGACCAGUCCCUGGGCUGGGUGCUGGGGACAGGUGGUGAGGGAGGUCUGGCCCCACUGAGAGGGCUCAGUCUAGGGGCAGCUGCCUUCUGACUUCUGUGGCGGGCGGGGAGGGGGGUAGGAUCCUAGCCCUCCCCUGACCACUGGUGGAGGUGAGCCAGCCCUUGCCCUCCAGGAGAGGCAGAUGGAGGAACGCAUGCGGAUUCCAGAGUCCCUUGGCUAUAACAAGCAGGUUGGUAUCUUGGUUGACCUCAGCAAGGCAGCAUCUACAGAAGCUUAGGGAAGAUCACUGGGCUGGGUGUGGGGGCGGGGGAGGGAGGAGGGAAGAGGGAAAGGCUCCUGCUUUGGCCUCACCUCGCAGAGCUAACGCUGCACAGGCUGCCGCUGCUCCAGGACCAGAGCACUUCUGCUGAGUUCACAUUAUCUACAGUCCCCUCACUCCAGGGGAGGAGGUGCAGCCAUAAAACCCAUUUUACAGAUGAGGACAUCAAGGUGCAAAAUGGUGAGGCCAAACUGCUCAAGGCUACACAGCUGCGAAGGAGUGGCCGGGAGGUUCAGACCCAGGUCCACACUCCCAGGCACGGCUGGAGGGAGAUUUCUGUGGAGGGGCUCAGAGGACCCGCGCUCCGGGUUCCUGAUCAGCUGUGCAGGAAGGAAGAAGGGAAGCCGGCCAGCGAGGGCUCCGAAAGCAUCUGGCAAGGAGCGUAUCUCUCUGAGGUCCGCAGUUCAUCUGGGAAGCGGGGUUCCUCCCUUCCCUCCUUCCUUCCAGGCUGACUCCCAGCUCUGGUGGUUACCCUCUGGGUGACCCUGGCAGGUCACUUCCACCUUCUGGGCCUGGGAUUCUGCUGUGUACCAGGCACUGCUCAGAGGAGACUAAGGGCGCCAAGUGAGCCAGACAGAUUGGUCUCCCGCCUCCUGGGACAGCUAACGGGCUCUGCAGGCCUCCUAGAAGAAGUGAUGCGUGAGUGGAGGUGGACCAGCUGUGCUGCCCUCGCACCCAUGGGUCGGGGGGAGGCAUUUCCCGCCAGGGAGAGGGGGCAGUGGAUUCCCAGGCUUACUGGGAAAGUCACAGAGCUUAAGCCCUGGAACCCCUCACUUGCUGGGCAUCCUCCUAUGACUUGGGAGAGGCCGCGCCCACUCAGGAUCACGUGCCCUCCGAGUUGGCCAAAGUAAGCUAUUCUCACUGCCUCUCUCCCCUGCCACUUCCUCCCUGUCCUACAUGCCCUCCCUUUGGACGCUGCUGGAGCUGCUGUGGCAUUUGGGGGACUCUAGUGAAGGGGAAGUUGUCACAGAAUGCGACAUUGAUGAAAAUCUAAAACAAAACUCAAAAUGUAAACAGGAUGUUGGCAACAAGCUGGUUGGUAGAGGCUUCCAUUCAAAUGCUGUUUAAGUUUCGUAAAUCAAGGAAACAUAAAAAGUCUUGUGACUGUCUAUAUAAGAUCCUCAAUCCUGAUCGAAGUUUUUCUAAAUAGGACAGUAAUCCUAAAGCUUUUCACGCUACCAGUAAUGAGUUAUGAAGUUGAAAGAAACCUUUUGAAACUAUUAACAAUGGUGGGGGGAGUGUUGGGUCCACUGUGCUGGAGAAAAUUGAGAUAUCUUCUUAUUCUCUCUAAAGAAAAUGACAGUACUAAAUCAAUGUCAAGUGAAGAGGUUAUCCCAAAAGUACAUGACCCAAAUGUAGGAAUAAAAGUAUUAUGGAAGCAUAUAAGGGGGUUAAUAUAAGUAUAAUAUUGUUUUUCUGGACACUGUAUUGUGUUUGUCUGCUUUUUAUAUGUUGUGGUUUUGUUUCUCAUUCAAAAUACUCACAUUUUUAUCUGAUUUUGUGUUUUCCUUUUUUUUUUUAAAUUUUUAUUGAUUUAUUUGAGAGUGAGAGAGAAAGCACGAGAGCACACAGGUGGAGAGUGGGGAGGAGCAGAAGGAGAGGGAGAAGCAAGCUCCCCACUGAGCCUGAAGCCUGAAGCGGGGCUCCAUCUCAGGACCCUAGGAUUAUGACCUGAGCCAAAGGCAGAUGCUUGACCAACUGAACCACCUAGGCCUCCUUUGUGUUCUUUUUUCUUAAAGAAAGUCUCCCAGCUUGAUAAGUUUUAAGCCCACAAAAUCUGGAUGCAAUUCUAUGGAGAGAAGGUGGCAUGUGCAAAGGCCCAGUGGUAGUGGGGUAGAACUUGGCUGUGUUUGAGGAAUAGAAGCACAGAGAGGACAGGGAGAGAAGGAGAGGAGGUUAUUUCCCAUAAUCCUACUGGACCUCUCACUGGCUAUAUGGCCAAACAGGGGAAGGAAUUUGGGGAUCAUUAUCCAGAAAGAACAGGACAAAGAAACGACCUCAUAAGUCUUUCUUCAACCUCCAGCUAGUGCAGGAAUCCUCUCUCUCACAGCUGCCCACUUGACUAUCUCUACAGACUUCCUGCAAGGAAGAGCUCAUCCCCUCCCCUAAACCCUAACUAUGGGAAGUUCUUCUGUCAAUCUUCUGUCACCCUAACCGCUAACUGUCUUCAGUUCCCCCUUGGGUCCUCAUCUUCUUUCAAGCCCAGAAAUAACUGGUGGCUCUCUACUUCCUUUUUUUUUUUUUUAAGAUUUUAUUUAUUUAUUUGACAGAGAGAGAGACAGCAAGAGACGGAAUACAAGCAGGGGGAGUGGGAGAGGGAGAAGCAGUCUUCCCGUGGAGCAGUGAGCCCGAUGUGGGGCUCAAUCCCUGGACCCUGGGAUCAUGACCUGAACCCAAGGCAGACAGUUAACAACUGAGCCACCCGGGCCCCCUGGUUGCUACCUACUUCUGCCCAUUCAUUUUAGCUCUGGCGACACUUGAGGGCGGUGUUCAAGUUCUAUUCUUGCCCAAGAUAACCUGGCUUCCUUCAAAGAUUUCUCUUGUAAGUUGACUUCCAAAGUCUUCCUUAUCCAUUAACUCAAUGGUUUCUUAGCCGCUCAUACACAUAUGAUGAUGAGAUAAGAGCGAACACGAGUGCCCAGCUGUGUACGAGGCUCUGUGCUGGGUGUUUGUUUAUGCCUCAUCAUGAAGGCAAUCCUACAAAACAGGUACAGUUAUGAAACCCAUUUCACAGAUGAGGAAACCGAGGUUCGAAGAGACUAAAUGAACAGCCUAGGUUACAGAGCAUGAAGGUGGUGCAAUCGGGCUCUUUGACUUCAGAGCUCAUGUUGUGAGUCACAUUAGAUGGGUAGAAUUAGGGGCUCCAGUGUGCAGAGGAGAAUAACUCUGCUUCAAGACUGUAAAACAGGGGCGCCUGGGUGACUCAGUGGGUUGAGCAUCUGCCUUCAGCUGAGGUCAUGAUCUCAGGGUCCGGGGAUCGAGGGGAGGCCAGCAUCAGGCUUCCUGCCCAGUGGGGAGUCUGCUUCCUUACCUCUCCCUUUGCCUCCCCCUCUACACGUCUCCCCCCGAGAUAAGUAAAUAAAAUCUUAAAAAACAAACAAACAACUGUAACACAGACAUCCUGAGUUUCCAAUCUGUUGACCUGUCCAAUGGAUUGUGGAUGGACUUGCCUUAUAACUGUAGGAGCCAACCCUUAAAACCCGUCUCUGUCCUCCACCUUCCUCUCCACUCUCUCUAUAUACACACCCAUAUCCCUACACACACAUACAUACCCACAUGCCCACACGCAUCCACACCUCCUGUUGGUUCUGUUUCUCUGGAGAACCUGACUGGCAAUAGUCCUGUCUCCCCACCUCCAGCCUGCAGGUGUCUUAAAGAGGCAUCGCAGGUGUCUUAAAGAGGCAUCUGAGCUCACCCAGUCCUAUCAGCACAAUAUCACCAAUAGAUUAGACCAAUGUGGUCCUUGUGGGAUGGUGAGAGGGUCCCAUGGAGCUGGAGCACCGACCUGUGGAAGAACGGUGGUCACGGUGAGCUGCU